rnacentral:rRNA from 1 species
CAGCCGCCGCGGUAAUACGGAGGGCGCGAGCGUUGCCCGGACUUACUGGGCGUAAAGGGCGUGUAGGCGGCCUGGGGCGUCCCAUGUGAAAGGCCACGGCUCAACCGUGGAGGAGCGUGGGAUACGCUCAGGCUAGAGGGUGGGAGAGGGUGGUGGAAUUCCCGGAGUAGCGGUGAAAUGCGCAGAUACCGGGAGGAACGCCGAUGGCGAAGGCAGCCACCUGGUCCACUUCUGACGCUGAGGCGCGAAAGCGUGGGGAGCAAACCGGAUUAGAUACCCCCGUAGUCCCUGUCUCUUAUAC